rnacentral:rRNA from 1 species
UGGGGAAUAUUGCACAAUGGGGGAAACCCUGAUGCAGCGACGCCGCGUGAACGAAGAAGGUAUUCGUAUCGUAAAGUUCUGUCCUAUGGGAAGAUAAUGACAGUACCAUAGAAGAAAGCUCCGGCUAAAUACGUGCCAGCAGCCGCGGUAAUACGUAUGGAGCGAGCGUUGUCCGGACUUAUUGGGCGUAAAGGGUACGCAGGCGGUUUAAUAAGUCGAAUGUUAAAGAUCGGGGCUCAACCCCGCAAAGCAUUGGAAACUGAUAAACUUGAGUAGUGGAGAGGAAAGUGGAAUUCCUAGUGUAGUGGUGAAAUACGUAGAUAUUAGGAGGAAUACCAGUAGCGAAGGCGACUUUCUGGACACAAACUGACGCUGAGGUACGAAAGCGUGGGGAGCAAACAGG